AGAAAAAAAAUCGAAGCGUCGCUCUUUAUGAAAUAUUAUUAUUAUAUUUUGUUUGGGUGAUCGCGUCGGAAUUGAGCCGUCUUUCAUAUGUUAACUCAUGUCAAAGUGGUUUAAAAUUCAUCAAUCUGGUACGAUUUAAAGCGUAUUUAAGAUCAACCUUGAUUAAGAAGGCGCGAUGACGUACCAUCUCAUGUAGUACGUUCGACCUGCUUGUCAGGCUCAUUCGUAUACGACACUCAAC
rnacentral:misc_RNA from 1 species